ensembl:lncRNA
GAAACACUAUUUAAAUGAACAUAGCUGGCCAUCGACAAGAAGUCACACCUGAAACUAAAAAUUGUGAUAAAGAGAAAGACCUAGAAGACGAUACAACCUGGCACAUAUUAACACCUGUACAAGAAAUUUAAAAACCUAAGGAAUCCGUGAAGAUGACAUCACAGUUUGUUUUAGAAAAAUUACAAAAAAUUCUGAAAGGAGAUGGUGUUAAGGCAAUACCAUCUACUGUUUUUUUAAUUGUAUUGAAGAAGCUGAUUGAAAUUGAAUUUCAUUCAUGCCCAUGCAAAGUUGAGCUAAAUGCCCUGGUAAUAUCGUUUAUGUUCAUUGGACCUGCUUUUUUUAUUUUCAUUUUACUGUAUCUUAUACUUAGGUUUCUUAAAUAUAGAUGCAGUUUUUGUAGAGAAGCAAAUGAUGAUACUCAGAGGUACUGUCCUAAAGCUGUAGCAGUUUGUCUGAUUUCACCUGUUAUAUGGGUUGUUAUUUUGUUAAUUGAUGGUGAAUAUAUUGCUUGUGGCAUGACAUAUUGGAAUGGAGUUUAUGUGUUUGAUGAUGAUCUCCAAAAGUUGUGGUGUAAACCUACUGAAGAGAUACGAAAUAAGACUGUGACUGAGCUACGGAAUCUGACUAGCACAUAUAUACAUCACUCUCAGGUUUCAGGUUAUGCUUUGAUAACUGUUCUUAGUGUCUUGCUGUUUGUUUCUGUGGGAGUCUAUGACUGCUGCAUCAGUGGGAAAUGUCAACUGUUAUGCUGCAGACAAACAGCAGAGACACGGCGUGGGAGACAAGAUAAUGUUGAAACAGUUACUGGAGGGCUUGAUGCUCCCUGCGACAGACCCUCCAACACUGUACAAAAUCAGACUCCCUCACAAGCUUCUCCUCGUCCUCAUGAGGUAACGAAUGUUUGA